AUAUUGCACAAUGGGGGAAACCCUGAUGCAGCAACGCCGCGUGAGUGAUGAAGGUCUUCGGAUCGUAAAGCUCUGUCUUCAGGGACGAUAAUGACGGUACCUGAGGAGGAAGCCACGGCUAACUACGUGCCAGCAGCCGCGGUAAUACGUAGGUGGCGAGCGUUGUCCGGAUUUACGGGGCGUAAAGGGAGCGUAGGCGGAUUUUUAAGUGAGAUGUGAAAUACCCGGGCUCAACUUGGGUGCUGCAUUUCAAACUGGAAGUCUAGAGUGCAGGAGAGGAGAGUGGAAUUCCUAGUGUAGCGGUGAAAUGCGUAGAGAUUAGGAAGAACACCAGUGGCGAAGGCGACUCUCUGGACUGUAACUGACGCUGAGGCUCGAAAGCGUGGGGAGCAAACAGG
rnacentral:rRNA from 1 species